CAGUUGAGCCCCCCUGUCCUUCAAAGUCUGGACCGCCCCUGGUCUAGUUAGAGGCCUUCUCUGAUCGGUGUCUCUGACUUCAUGCAAGGUGCAAACCGGCUAGCCCAGGCUGCUGAUGUCUCUGGUUCCACCGGCUGAUUUCAGGGAAGAACAGUUCUUGUUCCAGGGAUUAGUCGAGGCCUGCUCUCAUCCUCUCCUCAGUCUCCACUUUCAUACAUCGGUUGAGCUGAUUCUCUGUCGUCCUUGCCUCUGGUCUGCAGAUGCAUGACUCUCCUGCUGGUGGCAGUGAAGGCUCUCUAAC